AGUGAACGCUGGCGGUAGGCCUAACACAUGCAAGUCGAACGGCAGCACAGUAAGAGCUUGCUCUUACGGGUGGCGAGUGGCGGACGGGUGAGGCAUACAUCGGCAUCUACUUUUUCGUGGAGGAUAACGUAGGGCAGCUUACGCUAAUACCGCAUACGACCUACGGGUGAAAGCAGAGGAUCUUCGGACUUUGCGCGUUUGAAUGAGCCGAUGUCGCGUUACCUAGUUGGGAGGGUAAGGGCACACCAUGGCGACGAUACGUAGCCGCCCUGAGAGGAUGCGAGGCCACACUGGAAAUGAGACACGGUCCCGACUCCUACGGGAGGCAGCAGGAGGGAUGCUUCCGGAAUGGGCGCAAGCCUGACGGAGCAACGCCGCGUGAGUGAUGAAGGUCUUCGGAUCGUAAAACUCUGUUAUUAGGGAAGAACAUAUGUGUAAGUAACUGUGCACAUCUUGACGGUACCUAAUCAGAAAGCCACGGCUAACUACGUG
rnacentral:rRNA from 1 species